GACGAACCGUGCGAACGUUGUUCGGAUUCACUGGGCUUAAAGGGCGCGUAGGCGGACGGUCAAGUCGGGGGUGAAAUCUUUCAGCUUAACUGGAAAAGUGCCUCCGAUACUGAUCGUCUCGAGGGAGGUAGGGGCAUGUGGAACUUCCGGUGGAGCGGUGAAAUUCGUAGAUAUUGGGAAGAACACCGGUGGCGAAGGCGGCGACCUGGUCCUUGACUGACGCUGAGGCGCGAAAGCGUGGGGAGCAAACAGG
rnacentral:rRNA from 1 species